GGGUCGCACCCGGCUUUCCUUGGAGGAACGUCAGCGUCGUAUGGAUGAGGGUUGUUGCAUCUACUGUGCACAGAUGGGUCACUUCCUCGCCAAUUGUCCCAUCCGUCGUGGUGGGGCCUCUAGAAGUCGUGAGAGCCUGAUGAACCCCUCGAGGCAAGUGCCCUAGAUGGACGCCAUCUUUUCCAAGACUUCCUUGGCUCAAGACUCACAACCCCCAUAUUGACUGGUC